rnacentral:rRNA from 1 species
UACGAAGGGGGCUAGCGUUGUUCGGAAUUACUGGGCGUAAAGCGCACGUAGGCGGACAUUUAAGUCAGGGGUGAAAUCCCAGAGCUCAACUCUGGAACUGCCUUUGAUACUGGGUGUCUAGAGUAUGGAAGAGGUGAGUGGAAUUCCGAGUGUAGAGGUGAAAUUCGUAGAUAUUCGGAGGAACACCAGUGGCGAAGGCGGCCUUCUGGGCCUU